UACGUAGGGCGCAAGCGUUUGUCCGGAAUUAUUGGGCGUAAAGAGCUCGUAGGCGGCCUGUCGCGUCUGCUGUGAAAUCCCGGGGCUUAACCCCGGGCGUGCAGUGGAUACGGGCUGGCUGGAGGCAGGCAGGGGAGAACGGAAUUCCCGGUGUAGCGGUGAAAUGCGCAGAUAUCGGGAGGAACACCGGUGGCGAAGGCGGUUCUCUGGGCCUGUACUGACGCUGAGGAGCGAAAGCGUGGGGAGCGAACAGG
rnacentral:rRNA from 1 species